GAUGAACGCUGGCGGCGUGCCUAAUACAUGCAAGUCGAGCGAACAGACGAGGAGCUUGCUCCUCUGACGUUAGCGGCGGACGGGUGAGUAACACGUGGAUAACCUACCUAUAAGACUGGGAUAACUUCGGGAAACCGGAGCUAAUACCGGAUAAUAUAUUGAACCGCACGGUUCAAUAGUGAAAUACGGUUUUGCUGUCACUUAUAGAUGGAUCCGCGCCGCAUUAGCUAGUUGGUAAGGUAACGGCUUACGAAGGCAACGAUGCGUAUCCGACCUGAGAGGGUGAUCGGACACACUGGAACUGAGGCACGGUCCAGACUCCUACGGGAGGCAGCAGUAGGGAAUCUUCCGCAAUGGGCGAAAGCCUGACGGAGCAACGCCGCGUGAGUGAUGAAGGUCUUCGGAUCGUAAAACUCUGUUAUUGGGGAAGAACAAAUGUGUAAGUAGCUAUGCACGUCUUGACGGUACCUAAUCAGAAAGCCACGGCUAACUACGUG
rnacentral:rRNA from 1 species